GACGAACGCUGGCGGCGUGCCUAAUACAUGCAAGUAGAACGCUGAAGAGAGGAGCUUACUCUUCUUGGAUGAGUUGCGAACGGGUGAGUAACGCGUAGGUAACCUGCCUUGUAGCGGGGGAUAACUAUUGGAAACGAUAGCUAAUACCGCAUAACAAUGGAUGAAACAUGUCAUUUAUUUGAAAGGGGCAUUGCUCCACUACAAGAUGGACCUGCGUUGUAUUAGCUAGUAGGUGAGGUAAUGGCUCACCUAGGCGACGAUACAUAGCCGACCUGAGAGGGUGAUCGGCCACACUGGGACUGAGACACGGCCCAGACUCCUACGGGAGGCAGCAGUAGGGAAUCUUCGGCAAUGGGGGCAACCCUGACCGAGCAACGCCGCGUGAGUGAAGAAGGUUUUCGGAUCGUAAAGCUCUGUUGUAAGUCAAGAACGGGUGUGAGAGUGGAAAGUUCACACUGUGACGGUAGCUUACCAGAAAGGGACGGCUAACUACGUG
rnacentral:rRNA from 1 species